rnacentral:rRNA from 1 species
UUGUGUGUUAGUGGAACGGUCUGGAAAGUCCGACGGUACAGGGUGAUAGUCCCGUACACCAAAAUGCACAGGUUGUGAACUCGAAGAGUAGGGCGGGACACGUGGUAUCCUGUCUGAAUAUGGGGGGACCAUCCUCCAAGGCUAAAUACUCCUGACUGACCGAUAGUGAACCAGUACCGUGAGGGAAAGGCGAAAAGAACCCCGGCGAGGGGAGUGAAAAAGAACCUGAAACCGUGUACGUACAAGCAGUGGGAGCCUCUUUAUGGGGUGACUGCGUACCUUUUGUAUAAUGGGUCAGCGACUUAUAUUCUGUAGCAAGGUUAACCGUAUAGGGGAGCCGAAGGGAAACCGAGUCUUAACUGGGCGUUAAGUUGCAGGGUAUAGACCCGAAACCCGGUGAUCUAGCCAUGGGCAGGUUGAAGGUUGGGUAACACUAACUGGAGGACCGAACCGACUAAUGUUGAAAAAUUAGCGGAUGACUUGUGGCUGGGGGUGAAAGGCCAAUCAAACCGGGAGAUAGCUGGUUCUCCCCGAAAGCUAUUUAGGUAGCGCCUCGUGAAUUCAUCUUCGGGGGUAGAGCACUGUUUCGGCUAGGGGGUCAUCCCGACUUACCAACCCGAUGCAAACUGCGAAUACCGAAGAAUGUUAUCACGGGAGACACACGGCGGGUGCUAACGUCCGUCGUGAAGAGGGAAACAACCCAGACCGCCAGCUAAGGUCCCAAAGUCAUGGUUAAGUGGGAAACGAUGUGGGAAGGCACAGACAGCCAGGAUGUUGGCUUAGAAGCAGCCAUCAUUUAAAGAAAGCGUAAUAGCUCACUGGUCGAGUCGGCCUGCGCGGAAGAUGUAACGGGGCUAAACCAUGCACCGAAGCUGCGGCAGCGACACUAUGUGUUGUUGGGUAGGGGAGCGUUCUGUAAGCCGUUGAAGGUGGCCUGUGAGGGUGCUGGAGGUAUCAGAAGUGCGAAUGCUGACAUAAGUAACGAUAAUGCGGGUGAAAAACCCGCACGCCGGAAGACCAAGGGUUCCUGUCCAACGUUAAUCGGGGCAGGGUGAGUCGACCCCUAAGGCGAGGCCGAAAGGCGUAGUCGAUGGGAAACAGGUUAAUAUUCCUGUACUUGGUGUUACUGCGAAGGGGGGACGGAGAAGGCUAUGUUAGCCGGGCGACGGUUGUCCCGGUUUAAGCAUGUAGGCGGAGGUUCCAGGUAAAUCCGGUACCUUUUUAACGCUGAGGUGUGAUGACGAGGCACUACGGUGCUGAAGUAACAAAUGCCCUGCUUCCAGGAAAAGCCUCUAAGCAUCAGGUAACACGAAAUCGUACCCCAAACCGACACAGGUGGUCAGGUAGAGAAUACCAAGGCGCUUGAGAGAACUCGGGUGAAGGAACUAGGCAAAAUGGUGCCGUAACUUCGGGAGAAGGCACGCUGAUAUGUAGGUGAAGUGAUUUACUCAUGGAGCUGAAAUCAGUCGAAGAUACCAGCUGGCUGCAACUGUUUAUUAAAAACACAGCACUGUGCAAACACGAAAGUGGACGUAUACGGUGUGACGCCUGCCCGGUGCCGGAAGGUUAAUUGAUGGGGUUAUCCGUAAGGAGAAGCUCUUGAUCGAAGCCCCGGUAAACGGCGGCCGUAACUAUAACGGUCCUAAGGUAGCGAAAUUCCUUGUCGGGUAAGUUCCGACCUGCACGAAUGGCGUAAUGAUGGCCAGGCUGUCUCCACCCGAGACUCAGUGAAAUUGAACUCGCUGUGAAGAUGCAGUGUACCCGCGGCAAGACGGAAAGACCCCGUGAACCUUUACUAUAGCUUGACACUGAACACUGGUCCUUGAUGUGUAGGAUAGGUGGGAGGCUUUGAAGUGUGGACGCCAGUCUGCAUGGAGCCAUCCUUGAAAUACCACCCUUUAAUGGCUGGUGUUCUAACGUGGACCCGUAUCCGGGUUGCGGACAGUGUCUGGUGGGUAGUUUGACUGGGGCGGUCUCCUCCUAAAGAGUAACGGAGGAGCACGAAGGUUAGCUAAUCCUGGUCGGACAUCAGGAGGUUAGUGCAAAGGCAUAAGCUAGCUUGACUGCGAGAGUGACGGCUCGAGCAGGUGCGAAAGCAGGUCUUAGUGAUCCGGUGGUUCUGAAUGGAAGGGCCAUCGCUCAACGGAUAAAAGGUACUCCGGGGAUAACAGGCUGAUACCGCCCAAGAGUUCAUAUCGACGGCGGUGUUUGGCACCUCGAUGUCGGCUCAUCACAUCCUGGGGCUGAAGUAGGUCCCAAGGGUAUGGCUGUUCGCCAUUUAAAGUGGUACGCGAGCUGGGUUUAGAACGUCGUGAGACAGUUCGGUCCCUAUCUGCCGUGGGCGCUGGAGAAUUGAGGGGGGCUGCUCCUAGUACGAGAGGACCGGAGUGGACGCAUCACUGGUGUUCGGGUUGUCAUGCCAAUGGCAUUGCCCGGUAGCUAAAUGCGGAAGAGAUAAGUGCUGAAAGCAUCUAAGCACGAAACUUGCCCCGAGAUGAGUUCU